UACGUAGGGUGCAAGCGUUAAUCGGAAUACUGGGCGUAAAGCGUGCGCAGGCGGUGAUGUAAGACAGAUGUGAAAUCCCCGGGCUCAACCUGGGAACUGCAUUUGUGACUGCAUCGCUGGAGUGCGGCAGAGGGGGGGAUGGAAUUCCGCGUGUAGCAGUGAAAUGCGUAGAUAUGCGGAGGAACACCGAUGGCGAAGGCAAUCCCUG
rnacentral:rRNA from 1 species